AGAGAAUCUUCAACGGUUGGUGGUGGCUCGUGAUUUGCUGGAUGCUGUUGAAGAAGUUCCGAGGUAGGAUGUUACGUGUUCAGAAGCUGAAGUCUAGAAGCAACAAGAGGUAAUACUGAUUUACAUAACAUCUUUAAUGUAAUAGAAAUAGAAUCUAGUUCAACCUCAGACUCUCACUCAACCUCUGUGUCAAUCUCUUUAGACAUAGACAAUAUUCCCUCGAAUAAAGUCUAUGCAAACUUACAUAAAU
rnacentral:lncRNA from 1 species